rnacentral:rRNA from 1 species
GAGAGGUAACGGCUCACCAAGGCAUCGACGGGUAGCUGGUCUGAGAGGAUGAUCAGCCACACUGGAACUGAGACACGGUCCAGACUCCUACGGGAGGCAGCAGUGGGGAAUCUUGCACAAUGGGCGAAAGCCUGAUGCAGCGAUGCCGCGUGCGGGAAGAAGGCCCUAGGGUUGUAAACCGCUUUCAGGAGGGAAGAAAAUGACGGUACCUCCAGAAGAAGGUGCGGCCAACUACGUGCCAGCAGCCGCGGUAACACGUAGGCACCAAGCGUUAUCCGGAUUUAUUGGGCGUAAAGAGCUCGUAGGCGGUUCAGUCAGUCGGGUGUGAAAACUUGAGGCUUAACCUCAAGAGGUCACUCGAUACCACUGUGACUAGAGUGCGGUAGGGGAGCGGGGAAUUCCUGGUGUAGCGGUGAAAUGCGCAGAUAUCAGGAGGAACACCAGUGGCGAAGGCGCCGCUCUGGGCCGUAACUGACGCUGAGGAGCGAAAGCAUGGGUAGCAAACAGGAUUAGAUACCCUGGUAGUCCAUGCCGUAAACGUUGGGCACUAGGUGUGGGUCUCAACCAACGAGAUCCGCGCCGUCGCUAACGCAUUAAGUG